rnacentral:rRNA from 1 species
UAAACAAGUUUGGAUUUGGAAUGAUAUUUCUUCCAAUAUCCUUCAGGAAGGCAAGAAAUUCAUACCGUUUGGAAUUGGAUUUUCCAGUAGCCCUGUUUUUCUAGAACAUACAUUUAAAAGAAAU